UCGAUACUAGUAUUUCAUCUGCCAAACUACUCAAUUCACAAAAACGGUACCUAUAUCAAUGUUGUGAUGAAACCUGUGAAAGGGAAUGUAAUCCUAUGUUAUCAAUCUGAGACAUUCUAUUCAGCAUGCCGUUUCGAAAUAAAUUGGAUGGACGGAGACAAAGUUUAUACAAAGUGUUAACUAAUGAUCAGCCAGUAUGCGUGACUUUACCGUGGUACAAAAGCAAUGCGAUAAGAAAGAUCUUCCUAAUAUUUGUUGCUAUUUGUUUGCUUGUGUAUGUUCUUUGGGAUACUUUUACUCUAAACAUUAAACAUCCUUCCGAAAGCGUUUUGUCAGAUGACUCAGCACGUACUCGGGUCAAUGAAUCACAACUAGUAUGCAACGAAGUAUUUACAGAUAAUCGAUUUUUUAUUCAAAAUCGACCUGUCCACGAUUAUGAAACAAUGACUUUAAUAUACUUUGUAACACCCACAUAUCCACGCAGGGAACAGGUACCUGAACUCAUUCGGCUAGCUUACACGCUCUUACAUGUGCCGCGACUUCAUUGGAUAGUUGCAAAUGAUUACCAUGUUUGCAACGUAUAUAUUGAUGACUUACUCAUAAAAUUAGGUUUGCCCUUUACGCACUUGGCCAGCCCAAUGCCAGAAUUCUAUCGAAAGAAAAAGCCAUUGCCUCGUGGUGUGGCAAAUCGUCGUGCAGCAAUACGAUGGUUACGACAAAGGAAUAUUACAAACGGUGUUCUGUACUUCGGUGAUGAUGACAAUACAUACGACUUAAAACUUUUUUCUGAAAUAAGAGAUACGCAACGCGUCUCUAUGUUUCCAGUGGGAUUAAUUGAAGAGUAUUCCGUUAGUGGGCCAGUUGUUCGGGGAGGUAAAGUUGUUGGAUUUCUCGAUUCUUGGGUAGCGGAAAGGCGGUGGCCAGUAGAUAUGGCCGGUUUCGCAACAAAUUUAGCGUACAUGGCUGAACAUCCAAAUGCCAGCAUGCCUUAUAAAGCGGGAUAUGAAGAAGACCUCUUUUUACGAAGCAUUAGAUUAGAACUGACUAUAAUUGAGCCUAGAGCUCGCAAUUGUACAGAAAUUCUUGUUUGGCAUACGCAAACCAAAAAUCGUGAACGUAGGACUCUAAGAAUUGACAACAAAUAUCUUGAUGAUCGUUCUAACCUUGGCUUUCUCAUGAAAUCUUUGGAAGUGAUGGGUAUUGCCAACACUUCGGACAGUGAAGGUCAAAAAGCUGUUAUAAGCAGGAAUGGAAAAGCGAAACCAUUGAGUUAUUUUUUAAGCUGAAUUUAAGCUUACACAAAUUUGUCCCUACAUGAUGUUCGUGACGUAAAAUACUCAAGAAAAUUUUAGUAAACUAGUAUACAUAAGUGGUCCCACAUUUGAAUUCCAUCAGACAUAACAUCAAAAUAAUAAUGUAAAAUUGCGAUCUUUAUUUUAUUUGUCCAGAACUCGAAAAAGAAUCUGCGAAGUGCAGUAAAAAAGAGUAUUGCAAGUAUUUUUUAAGAGGAUAUUUAAAAUGAUACUUGAUUGAAAACAAACUCACGAUAACAUCUGCAUUACUCCUGCACAACUUUACAACUCACUUAAAGUUGCUUUUGUCAUAGCUAAGUAAAGUUAGUUAUUUAUCGAAAUCCCGCAAAAUAGCUAACUAUAAGUUGGUUAUUUUAAUCAAUUGAUAAUUUUUUCCCUGCAGGGCAGUGACGUUUCGAUGUGACAUUUAGCCAUAUCGCAUGAAAAUCAAUACCUAAGUAUACUCCCAAUAAGCUUACCAAAGAGAAAGUACUCCCACUCCAUACCAUGUGAGUACAACUCGACAGUAUCUUUGCUGGCCAAAUUCUCCGCAGCGCGACUCCCUGCAAUAUCAAUAUGGCCUGGUUCCCAAAUGAGUCUGACCGGGGAAAAUUCAAUUGCCAAAAUCGAGGAGCUUAACAGACAUUCGACUGCUUCCUGUAUGCUAGCGCUGCCUGAUGCUGGCGCCUUGCAUGAAGGAACCAUACACCGACACUUCCGUCAAGCUUUGUGUAGAAAUACACCGGCUUUGUCCUGCAAAUACUUAUUCCAGUUCGCUCAUUCCUAAAGGUGAUAAACAAUAACGAUACCUUAGUGAAAGAUCGACCCAUCUCGGCAGCCAGUUCGAAAACGCCCCACCUCAGAAAACUUUUCAAGGACGGCCUACUUUAGAAUUUUGAUUG